AACUUCUCCAGUGAAAUUCCUAAUUUACCCUUUUCACUGUCGGCCCGCUGAAUAACCUCUCCGACCGCUUGAUUGCACCGCUCUGAACUUCGAACCAUUUCGCGAAACACUAAUCUUAUCGGCGAAGAAUCGGGAAUCGCGGUGCUUCCAUAUCGGCGGUACUGAAAGGGAAUGGUUGCAGAGUGAGGAACAAGGGAAUUUGGCGACGAGGUUAUUGGUCUCCGCAUUUAAACUUGCCUGUAUACACAUAGGAAGACAAACGAAAGAAUUAAUUGCUAUAUACAUAUUUCUCGUUUCUGUGUUUUUCGUAUGAAUAGGAAGCUAUUUUAUGCUUUUUAGACUUGUGGAUUUACUGUGAAAUUGGAUAAAAAUGGUUAAUUGAUUAACUGGGUGCAGUUCAUUAUGUGGGUAGUUCGCUUGAUGGGACCAAGCUAUUUUAAGCUUUGCGAAGUCAUAACCUCCGACCGCUGUUUGUCUCGUAAUCAUGUCUGGUAUAGUUUUUAGUUGCACGUCAACUUUCCUUUACUGUGUUUUUUUCAAUUUUGUUUUUGUUUAGGGUUUACUGGAAUUUUCGGUGAAGGGGUUUAGAGGGGAUGAAUGACUAAGUGAAAUAGAGGAGGAGGUGGACAACAAAAUACAGACGAUGUUAAAAUCUAGGAAAUUAGCAAAAGAGCACAAGGAGCAGUUACACAGGCUACAAGAAAAGGUACUUUUGGGGCUUUCCCAGAAUUUAUUGGAGGUGAAGCUGGAGGUAAUUGUGGGAAAAUGAGAUAAUGAACUUUUUUAAAAAGAAAAAAAAUAAAAAAGACACUAGAAAGAAAGAGAAAGUAUCAGGGGAGGAGUAGAUGUCCUCCAAAGGAGAAAGAGCAAGCAAAUUAAAGGAGAAAGGCCCUCAAACACCAAAGAGAAAAACAGCUGAAUGGAGGAUAGUCAGGACAUUUCUAUGUAAGAUGGACAAAGAAAUGUCUUUAGAAGGACCUUUGUUGCUUAGCCCAAAGAGAUGAACGAAAAACCAUCAAUAUCAAAUAAGCAAAAAAUCAAGAAGUGAUCCUUAAAGAUCUUGUGUUUCUCUCGAAGCCCUCAAGAACUAGAAGAGUAACCCAGGAAGUAGGAAAUUACCCAAAUUAUCGAAUAAAUAUCUUGUGUAUUUUUCUUGCCUAAAUUUUCUAUAUGUUAUGACAGCUUCAUUUUUAAUGUUGUCUUGUAACUUUUAAGUUGUCAACAAUCAAAUCUAUUUUGUUUUCUGUCUA